CCUAGUAACGGCGAGUGAAGCGGCAACAGCUCAAAUUUGAAAUCUGGCGUCUUUGGCGUCCGAGUUGUAAUUUGCAGAGGGCGCUUUGGCAUUGGCAGCGGUCCAAGUUCCUUGGAACAGGACGUCACAGAGGGUGAGAAUCCCGUACGUGGUCGCUAGCCUUUACCGUGUAAAGCCCCUUCGACGAGUCGAGUUGUUUGGGAAUGCAGCUCUAAAUGGGAGGUAAAUUUCUUCUAAAGCUAAAUACUGGCCAGAGACCGAUAGCGCACAAGUAGAGUGAUCGAAAGAUGAAAAGCACUUUGGAAAGAGAGUUAAAAAGCACGUGAAAUUGUUGAAAGGGAAGCGCUUGCAGCCAGACUUGCCUGUAGUUGCUCAUCCGGGUUUUUACCCGGUGCACUCUUCUACGGGCAGGCCAGCAUCAGUUUGGGCGGUUGGAUAAAGGUCUCUGUCAUGUACCUCCUCUCGGGGAGAUCUUAUAGGGGAGACGACAUGCAACCAGCCUGGACUGAGGUCCGCGCAUCUGCUAGGAUGCUGGCGUAAUGGCUGUAAGCGGCCCGUCUUGAAACACGGACCAAGGAGUCUAACAUCUAUGCGAGUGUUUGGGUGUCAAGCCCGAACGCGUAAUGAAAGUGAACGGAGGUGGGAACCUUUCGGGGUGCACCAUCGACCGAUCCUGAUGUCUUCGGAUGGAUUUGAGUAAGAGCAUAGCUGUUGGGACCCGAAAGAUGGUGAACUAUGCUUGAAUAGGGUGAAGCCAGAGGAAACUCUGGUGGAGGCUCGCAGCGGUUCUGACGUGCAAAUCGAUCGUCAAAUU
rnacentral:rRNA from 1 species